GAUGAACGCUAGCGGCAGGCCUAACACAUGCAAGUCGAGGGGUAGAAGGAGCUUGCUCCUUUGAGACCGGCGCACGGGUGCGUAACGCGUAUGCAAGCUACCUGGUACAGGGGAAUAGCCCAGAGAAAUUUGGAUUAAUGCCCCAUAGUAUAUAACCUUCGCAUGUUGGUUAUAUUAAAGUUCCAACGGUACAAGAUGAGCAUGCGUCCCAUUAGUUAGUUGGUAAGGUAACGGCUUACCAAGACGAUGAUGGGUAGGGGUCCUGAGAGGGAGAUCCCCCACAGUGGUACUGGCACACUGACCAGACUCCUACGGGAGGCAGCAGUGAGGAAUACUGGUGAAUGGUCGAAAGCCUGAUCCAGCCAUGCCGCGUGCAGCAAGACGGUCCUAUGGAUUGUAAACUGCUUUUAUACAGGAAGAAACCCUCCCACCGGUGGGAGCUUGACGGUACUGUAGGAAUAAGGAUCGGCUAACUCCGUG
rnacentral:rRNA from 1 species